CCACAGUGCGUCUGCCCUACAUGAGUGGGAGCAUGCAGCAGGAGGUGGCCUCUCACAGGACUUAGGAACAGCCGUCCUAUCUGUUUGAAGGCUCCAGUGAGGACGAGGCCAUUCCAAUGCUGGUAGCUGGGCUUAAAGGACUGAAGGUCAUGUCAUCGAUGUGGCGUGUGGGAGUGGGGACGCUCAAACCCUGGCUGUCACUGAGAACGGGCAAGUGUGGUCUUGGGGAGAUGGUGACUGUGGGAAGUUGGGCAGAGGUGGUAGUGAUGGCUGCAAAACCCCAAAGCUGAUUGAAAAGCUUCAAGACUUGGAUGUGGUCAGAGUCCGCUGUGGAAGUCAGUUUUCCAUCGCUUUGACGAAAGAUGGCCAAGUUUAUUCAUGGGGAAAAGGUGACAACCAGAGACGUGGACACAGACCAGAGGGACAUGUUCGUUAUCCAAAACUCUUAGAAGGCUUGCGAGGGAAGAAGGUGAUUGAUGUGGCUGCCGGCUCCACCCACUGCCUGGCUCUGACUGAGGACAUCGAGGUCCACAGCUCGGGGAGCAACGACCAGUGCCAGCACUUUGACACUUUGCGUGUGACCAAGCCAGAACCUGCAGCAUUGCCGGGACUGGACACCAAACACACAGUGGGAAUUUCCUGUGGGCCUGCCCAGGUCUGGGCAGCGUCCUCCUGAACAGCCUGAAGCAGACGGUGGUGACCCUGGCCAGCAGCGUGGGCGUGCUGAGCACCGUGCAGUCGGCCGCCCAGGCCAUGCCGCAGAGCGGCUGGUCCGUGCUGCUGCCCAGCGCCGAGGAGCGGGCCCGGGCACUCUCUGCUCCCCUGCCCUGCGCAGUUUCAGGCAAUGACGUGAACAUAAGUCGAGGUUGUCAAUUCAUGAGUGAUCUUCUGGUGGGCAGCUUGGUGGCUGCUGGAGAGUUGGAGUCCGCCUUAUAUGCAGCCAUUACUGCAGAGAUCGAGGAUAUUGAAGCCCAAAAAGAAACACAGAAGGAAAAAGAAGUUGAUGACCAGGAAGCGAAUGCCUCAACAUUUCAUAGGAGCAGGACGCCAUUGGAUUAAGACCUUGUUAAUACGGGAAUCUGUGAGUCUUCUGGCAAACGGUGUUUACCUCUGGUUCAGCUCAUACAACAGCUUCUUAGGUAAAUCGUAUGAGCUGUAUUGUAUUGUGUUGUGUUGUGUUGUGUUGUAUUGUAUUGUAUU